AUGGACCACACGUCCACUGCGGUUCUGGCGCGCCGUCCGCGCCCACCUGACAGCUGCUCGCUCCGUGUUGUGAGCC
rnacentral:sRNA from 1 species